rnacentral:rRNA from 1 species
UGGGGGAUAUUGCACAAUGGGGGAAACCCUGAUGCAGCGACGCCGCGUGGAGGAAGAAGGUUUUCGGAUUGUAAACUCCUGUCGUUAGGGACGAUAAUGACGGUACCUAACAAGAAAGCACCGGCUAACUACGUGCCAGCAGCCGCGGUAAAACGUAGGGUGCAAGCGUUGUCCGGAAUUACUGGGUGUAAAGGGAGCGCAGGCGGGAAGACAAGUUGGAAGUGAAAACCAUGGGCUCAACCCAUGAAUUGCUUUCAAAACUGUUUUUCUUGAGUAGUGCAGAGGUAGAUGGAAUUCCCGGUGUAGCGGUGGAAUGCGUAGAUAUCGGGAGGAACACCAGUGGCGAAGGCGGCUUACUGGACGAUGACUGACGUUGAGGCUCGAAAGCGUGGGUAGCAAACAGGAUUAGAUACCCUGGUAGUCCACACCGUAAACGAUGAUUACUAGGUGUUGGAGGAUUGACCCCUUCAGUGCCGCAGUUAACACAAUAAGUAAUCCACCUGGGGAGUACGACCGCAAGGUUGAAACUCAAAGGAAUUGACGGGGGCCCGCACAAGCAGUGGAGUAUGUGGUUUAAUUCGACGCAACGCGAAGAACCUUACCAAGUCUUGACAUCCCUUGACGAUGCUGGAAACAGCAUUUCUCUUCGGAGCAAGGAGACAGGUGGUGCAUGGUUGUCGUCAGCUCGUGUCGUGAGAUGUUGGGUUAAGUCCCGCAACGAGCGCAACCCUUAUGGUCAGUUACUACGCAAGAGGACUCUGGCCAGACUGCCGUUGACAAAACGGAGGAAGGUGGGGAUGACGUCAAAUCAUCAUGCCCUUUAUGACUUGGGCUACACACGUGCUACAAUGGCGUAAACAAAGGGAAGCGAGCCUGCGAGGGGGAGCAAAACUCAAAAACAACGUCUCAGUUCAGAUUGCAGGCUGCAACUCGCCUGCAUGAAGUCGGAAUUGCUAGUAAUCGCGGAUCAGCAUGCCGCGGUGAAUACGUUCCC